rnacentral:rRNA from 1 species
AAGGGCGUGCUAAUCUGCGAUAAGCGCCGGUAAGGUGAUAUGAACCGUUAUAACCGGCGAUACCCGAAUGGGGAAACCCAGUGUGAUUCGUCACACUAUCAUUAACUGAAUCCAUAGGUUAAUGAGGCGAACCGGGGGAACUGAAACAUCUAAGUACCCCGAGGAAAAGAAAUCAACCGAGAUUCCCCCAGUAGCGGCGAGCGAACGGGGAGGAGCCCAGAGCCUGAAUCAGCAUGUGUGUUAGUGGAAGCGUCUGGAAAGGCGCGCGAUACAGGGUGACAGCCCCGUACACAAAAGCGCAUGUGCUGUGAGCUCGAUGAGUAGGGCGGGACACGUGGUAUCCUGUCUGAAUAUGGGGGGACCAUCCUCCAAGGCUAAAUACUCCUGACUGACCGAUAGUGAACCAGUACCGUGAGGGAAAGGCGAAAAGAACCCCGGCGAGGGGAGUGAAAAAGAACCUGAAACCGUGUACGUACAAGCAGUGGGAGCNNNNNNNNNNNNNNNNNNNNNNNNNNNNNNNNNNNNNNNNNNNNGGGCGUUAAGUUGCAGGGUAUAGACCCGAAACCCGGUGAUCUAGCCAUGGGCAGGUUGAAGGUUGGGUAACACUAACUGGAGGACCGAACCGACUAAUGUUGAAAAAUUAGCGGAUGACCUGUGGCUGGGGGUGAAAGGCCAAUCAAACCGGGAGAUAGCUGGUUCUCCCCGAAAGCUAUUUAGGUAGCGCCUCGUGAAUUCAUCUCCGGGGGUAGAGCACUGUUUCGGCUAGGGGGCCAUCCCGGCUUACCAACCCGAUGCAAACUGCGAAUACCGGAGAAUGUUAUCACGGGAGACACACGGCGGGUGCUAACGUCCGUCGUGAAGAGGGAAACAACCCAGACCGCCAGCUAAGGUCCCAAAGUCAUGGUUAAGUGGGAAACGAUGUGGGAAGGCCCAGACAGCCAGGAUGUUGGCUUAGAAGCAGCCAUCAUUUAAAGAAAGCGUAAUAGCUCACUGGUCGAGUCGGCCUGCGCGGAAGAUGUAACGGGGCUAAACCAUGCACCGAAGCUGCGGCAGCGANNNNNNNNNNNNNNNNNNNNNNNNNNNNNNNNNNNNNNNNNNNNNNNNUGCUGGAGGUAUCAGAAGUGCGAAUGCUGACAUAAGUAACGAUAAAGCGGGUGAAAAGCCCGCUCGCCGGAAGACCAAGGGUUCCUGUCCAACGUUAAUCGGGGCAGGGUGAGUCGACCCCUAAGGCGAGGCCGAAAGGCGUAGUCGAUGGGAAACGGGUUAAUAUUCCCGUACUUGGUGUUACUGCGAAGGGGGGACGGAGAAGGCUAUGUUGGCCGGGCGACGGUUGUCCCGGUUUAAGCGUGUAGGUGUGUGUUCCAGGUAAAUCCGGUUCACUUUAACACUGAGGCGUGACGACGAGGCACUACGGUGCUGAAGCAACAAAUGCCCUGCUUCCAGGAAAAGCCUCUAAGCAUCAGGUAACACGAAAUCGUACCCCAAACCGACACAGGUGGUCAGGUAGAGAAUACCAAGGCGCUUGAGAGAACUCGGGUGAAGGAACUAGGCAAAAUGGUGCCGUAACUUCGGGAGAAGGCACGCUGACACGUAGGUGAAGUGAUUUACUCAUGGAGCUGAAGUCAGUCGAAGAUACCAGCUGGCUGCAACUGUUUAUUAAAAACACAGCACUGUGCAAACACGAAAGUGGACGUAUACGGUGUGACGCCUGCCCGGUGCCGGAAGGUUAAUUGAUGGGGUCAGCGCAAGCGAAGCUCCUGAUCGAAGCCCCGGUAAACGGCGGCCGUAACUAUAACGGUCCUAAGGUAGCGAAAUUCCUUGUCGGGUAAGUUCCGACCUGCACGAAUGGCGUAAUGAUGGCCAGGCUGUCUCCACCCGAGACUCAGUGAAAUUGAACUCGCUGUGAAGAUGCAGUGUACCCGCGGCAAGACGGAAAGACCCCGUGAACCUUUACUAUAGCUUGACACUGAACAUUGAGCCUUGAUGUGUAGGAUAGGUGGGAGGCUUUGAAGUGUGGACGCCAGUCUGCAUGGAGCCGACCUUGAAAUACCACCCUUUAAUGUUUGAUGUUCUAACGUGGACCCGUAAUCCGGGUUGCGGACAGUGUCUGGUGGGUAGUUUGACUGGGGCGGUCUCCUCCUAAAGAGUAACGGAGGAGCACGAAGGUUGGCUAAUCCUGGUCGGACAUCAGGAGGUUAGUGCAAUGGCAUAAGCCAGCUUGACUGCGAGCGUGACGGCGCGAGCAGGUGCGAAAGCAGGUCAUAGUGAUCCGGUGGUUCUGAAUGGAAGGGCCAUCGCUCAACGGAUAAAAGGUACUCCGGGGAUAACAGGCUGAUACCGCCCAAGAGUUCAUAUCGACGGCGGUGUUUGGCACCUCGAUGUCGGCUCAUCACAUCCUGGGGCUGAAGUAGGUCCCAAGGGUAUGGCUGUUCGCCAUUUAAAGUGGUACGCGAGCUGGGUUUAGAACGUCGUGAGACAGUUCGGUCCCUAUCUGCCGUGGGCGCUGGAGAACUGAGGGGGGCUGCUCCUAGUACGAGAGGACCGGAGUGGACGCAUCACUGGUGUUCGGGUUGUCAUGCCAAUGGCACUGCCCGGUAGCUAAAUGCGGAAGAGAUAAGUGCUGAAAGCAUCUAAGCACGAAACUUGCCCCGAGAUGAGUUCUCCCUGAGACUUAGAGUCUCCUGAAGGAACGUUGAAGACGACGACGUUGAUAGGCCGGGUGUGUAAGCGCAGCGAUGCGUUGA